AGACAAGGAUCUAGCCCCAUCCUCGACUGAUAUCCUCUGGUUACUGGGAAACUUCAGCAAACUAAGAAGACAAUGCCCUCCUCUUAAUUAUUUGGGAUGACAUAUUUACUUCCUAGUGAGUAUGCUGGAUAUUCUCUUAUUUGCUCUUUAUUCCUUAAGAUUCACUCUCUUUCCCUCUCUACUCUUCUCUGAACCCCCAGGAAGCUGAUCUGUAACAAGCAGAUCAACCAGGCUCUCUUGUUUUCUGGCUUCCAGAGGUUCAGAGGGUGACAGAGAAGAGAGGGGUGAAGUAUUUGUUCCCCUGUCUUUCUACAUGUCUGGCUUCAGAUUGGCAGUGGCUGUGCUCCCCGACCCAAAGCCACGGCUCCUGUCAGGGGACCACCUGACAGCUCCAGGUUUUACUGCAUUCUGAUAAAUGCCCCUUUAGACCUAGAUAUGGUAUCUGACCUCUUGUUGCUAGCCCUGGGUUUUUUUGCCAUUAUUGUUAGUUUCCACCACAUUUUUGUCAAUAAUCAUUUAGCUAAACUUUUGUCCAUUACCGUGUCUGAAUGUGUCAUCAAUGUCCUGCAAGCACCCUAAUGAUUACAUAACUGGUACCAAGAGGGGUCUCAGAAAUAAGCUAUUAAAAUGGGAUUUUGGGAUCGAGUGUCUCACUUAUUUGAUGCAAAGAUAAAUAAUCUUGUUUUUUUUUUGUCUGGGACACUGGUAAUCCAUGGUAUGUGGUGUUAUCAUGAUUACUCAAACUAUCAUCAGUAGUAGUAUAGAAUGGAGUGCAGGUGGAGGAUGAGGGAUUAGGAGAUAAAGCUGUCUAAUUCUCCCGGCAUCCUUUAUUGAAUAACCCAGUUCAUUAAUUUAUAUUUAACAUUUUAAAUGUUUCUUUACUGAUUGAAAUAGUCUUCUUUACCAUAAACUAAAUUCUUUUAUAUACUAAGGUCUGUUCCUGGGCUAUUUAUUUUGUUCUAUUUAUUUGAGUAAGUCUCAUGGGAUCACUUUAUUUUAUUGAUCCUUCCUGUAAGUCAAAGACAUAACACUGGCUCAUAAUAAUAAAAGCUUCUACUUACAUAGCAUUACUUUGUUCCAGGCAAUUUUCUAAGUGUGUUAUAUAUAUUAACUCACUCCAUCUUCACAACCACUCUGAAUAGAAGCUGUUGUUAUCUGUGUUUUGCAGGUGGAAAAUGAAGCACAGAGAAGUUCAGUGAUGGACCUCAGAUACUACCAGCAGAAAGCAGAAGAGCUAGGAUUUCAACUUAGGAUGUCUGGAUCCACAGUCUGCACUCCUACCCACUAUGCUACACUGCCUCUAACUAUGAGGAAGCAAGGGCAUUUUUUUUUUUCUGGUGACUAAAAAGAUAAGAGUUCAAGUAUGUGGCUCCUGAUAAUCUAACUUAUACAGCCUGGAAAAAUUGAUAGUUACUAUAUCCAGACUGUCUCAUUCAAUUAACAGUUUCUCAAGUAAUCUUCUAGUUACUGUCGUAUUUUAUCUGUAUCAACUUAGCAAACCAAGUCCAAAACAUUUUAUAUGUGUCUAUCUUUCCUGCUGUUCAUAUUAUUGAGUUAGCCAAAUAAAUUCAAUUUUUUUUCUACUGUUUGUUUCUCACA
rnacentral:lncRNA from 1 species